AUGGAUUCUCAGGCUCUAGUUGCUCCCCAGAAAAGCCUCAGCAAGUCAUUUUACCCUUUGCCUCUCACUCUACAUGGGUCUUUUCGAGAAUAUCUUAAUGAAAUAUUUCCUCAUCCCUGCGGACAAAGAGAUUUUUAUUGUGGGGGUGUCCCAUUAUUUUCCAUCUCAGGGACUCCUCCUUCAUUGUUUCCUUUUCUCUUCUGCUUCUCUUUCAUGGCUGCGCGUUUCUUCUUCCAGUGUUGCGGGCUAGGUCAGCAGCUGCAGGAGAACUUGAUUAGUGCCUUGCCUCAGUGCAGAUGCAUUUCCCUGACAGCAUCGAUCCUGGGUGCUUUCGCUUUGCAGGCAGCUCCACAGAGGAGGAGCUUGUACUGCAAAGGAGGUGGACUGUUGUCUGUUCAAGUACUUUUGCAUCCCAAAAGGCUCCAGAUGUGACCAGCCACUGCAAAAUGAGUUUGCGGGUUUGACCCCAGUCAUCUGGAUGUCAAUUCAUUUUAAAAGGCUACUUUUUAAAAUUGUGGAAAACCUUCGUCAGAAGUCUCAA
rnacentral:lncRNA from 9 species